CGGCCAAGCUAAAUUGUUGGGCAGU
rnacentral:piRNA from 1 species